rnacentral:rRNA from 1 species
AUUGAACGCUGGCGGCAGGCCUAACACAUGCAAGUCGAGCGGAUGAAGGGAGCUUGCUCCUGGAUUCAGCGGCGGACGGGUGAGUAAUGCCUAGGAAUCUGCCUGGUAGUGGGGGAUAACGUCCGGAAACGGGCGCUAAUACCGCAUACGUCCUGAGGGAGAAAGUGGGGGAUCUUCGGACCUCACGCUAUCAGAUGAGCCUAGGUCGGAUUAGCUAGUUGGUGGGGUAAAGGCCUACCAAGGCGACGAUCCGUAACUGGUCUGAGAGGAUGAUCAGUCACACUGGAACUGAGACACGGUCCAGACUCCUACGGGAGGCAGCAGUGGGGAAUAUUGGACAAUGGGCGAAAGCCUGAUACAGCCAUGCCGCGUGUGUGAAGAAGGUCUUCGGAUUGUAAAGCACUUUAAGUUGGGAGGAAGGGCAGUAAGUUGAUACCUUGCUGUUUUGACGUUACCAACAGAAGAAGCACCGGCUAACUACGUG